AAUGGUUUCGACGGGGGUAGUUGAGGCCGUGGCAGCGAGCCGUGGUUCCAGAGGCACGUUAAAAAGCUGGAAAAAUAAUUUAAACGCUAACGAAAAUUACGCGUUAGCAGCCUAAGGCUGCUCGUUCAACCUUUAGUUCCCGCACUUUAGGAUUGGGCGUCAUUUAGCGGGGUCCGUCACUACCAAAGCUUUGAGGUAACUGACGCAUUAUGAAGCUACUGAAGCUGUAAGCCUGUCUGUGGGCGUGCAGCAGAGGGAAUGUUAAAUCACUGACUGCGCUCGGAGAAGCUGUGACCAAGAUGCUUUCGGACAGGGGUUCGAUUCA
rnacentral:tmRNA from 1 species